rnacentral:rRNA from 7 species
UGGGGAAUAUUGCACAAUGGGCGAAAGCCUGAUGCAGCGACGCCGCGUGAGGGAUGACGGCCUUCGGGUUGUAAACCUCUUUCAGCAGGGAAGAAGCGAAAGUGACGGUACCUGCAGAAGAAGCGCCGGCUAACUACGUG